rnacentral:misc_RNA from 1 species
GAGAUUUUUCCAUACUAUAGUAAACUCAAACAUGAAGCUUUAUGUAACUUCAGGCCAUACAACUGCCCAUACGCUGGUUCUGAGUGUGCUGUUGUUGGGGAUAUUCCGUUCCUUGUUGCUCAUCUGAGGGAUGAUCACAAAGUAGACAUGCAUUCUGGAUGCACUUUCAACCAUCGCUAUGUCAAGUCUAAUCCUCGUGAAGUAGAAAAUGCAACAUGGAUGUUAACUGUUUUCCACUGUUUUGGCCAGUACUU